UACGUAGGGGGCAAGCGUUGUCCGGAUUUAUUGGGCGUAAAGAGCGUGUAGGCGGCCAGACAGGUCCGUUGUGAAAACUCGAGGCUCAACCUCGAGACGCCGAUGGAAACCGUCUGGCUAGAGUCCGGAAGAGGAGAGUGGAAUUCCUGGUGUAGAGGUGAAAUUCGUAGAUAUUGGGAAGAACACCGAUGGCGAAGGCAGCCAUCUGGACCGACACUGACGCUGAGGCGCGAAAGCGUGGGGAGCAAACAGG
rnacentral:rRNA from 1 species